UGAGGAAUAUUGGUCAAUGGACGGAAGUCUGAACCAGCCAUGCCGCGUGCAGGAUGAAGCAUCUAUGGUGUGUAAACUGCUUUUGUACGGGAAGAAAAAACAUUACGUGUAAUGUACUGACGGUACCGUAAGAAUAAGGAUCGGCUAACUCCGUGUCAG
rnacentral:rRNA from 1 species